GUCUUAGUUUGCGUCUUGACUUUUGAACUGGAUUUGCCGACUUGAACUGCGUUGUUGAUGGUUUCCAAAACCCGAGCCUGCAAAUCCAGUCAAAAGUUAAAACCGGGCUGAGAU
rnacentral:pre_miRNA from 1 species